AGGGACAUUGAGGUACAUAUAUUCAAUUUAGGGACAUCAAGGGGCUAGUUUUGCAUCAAAAGUGCCAUUCGCCACUUACAUUUGAAGCAUUCACAUUCAAAUUGAACUCAGACCAUCAAAUCUAGGGACAUCCAGGGACAUAAACUCAAUUUAGGGACAUUGAGGGACAUAUGCUCAAUUUUGCAUCGAAGGCACCAAGGCACACACACAACCAUCUUUCUGUUAUGAGCAGAUUUAAGGACAUCAAGGGACAUAUACUCAAUUGUUCUCAUACGUUGUUCCCAUAAACUUCAUAAUAGGCAACAAAACAGAGCAGAGUUAUGAACAUCUAAUUUAGAGACAUUUAGUUACAUAUAUUCAAUUUAGGGACAUCAAGGGGAAUAUAAUCAAAUUAGGGACAUCGAAGGACAUAUAUUCAAUUUUGCAUCAAAGGUGCCAAGGGACUUCUCCGCUUACAUUUGAACAUUCGAAUUGAAAUUGCAUUCAGACCAUCAAAUCUAAGGACAUCAACACAAUUUAGGGACAUCGAGAGACAUAUACUCUAUUUUGCAUCGACGUCACCAAGGCACACACAAAACCAUCUUUCUUAGGAACAUCUAAUUUAGGGACAUUGAGGUACAUAUAUUCAAUUUAGGGACAUCAAGGGGUCAAUUUUGCAUCAAAAGUGCCAAGGGACUUCGCCACUUACAUUUGAAGCAUUCACAUUGAAAUUGAACUCGGACCAUCAAAUCUAGGGACAUCCAGGGACAUAAACUCAAUUUAGGGACAUUGAGGGACAUAUGCUAAAUAUUGCAUCGAAGGCACCAAGGCACACACACAACCAUCUUUCUUGUUUACCGUUAUGAGCAGAAUUAAGGACAUCAAGGAACAUAUACUCAAUUGUUCUCAUACGUUGUUCUCAUAAAUUCAUAAUAGGCAACAAAACAGAGCAGAGUUAUGAACAUCUAAUUUAGGGACAUUGAGUUACAUAUAUUCAAUUUAGGGACAUCAAGGGGAAUAUAAUCAAAUUAGGGACAUCAAGGGAAAAAUAUUCAAUUUAGGGACAUCGAAGGACAUAUAUUCAAUGUUGCAUCAAAGGUGCCAAGGGACUUCGCCACUUACAUUUGAAGCAUUCGCAUUCAAAUUGAACUCAGACCAUCAAAUCUAGGGACAUCCAGGGACAUUUAGGGACAUUGAGGGACAUAUGCUCAAUUUUGCAUCGAAAGCACCAAGACACACACACAACCAUCUUUCUGUUAUGAGCAAAAUUAAGGACAUCAAGGGAAAUAUACUCGAUUGUUCUCAUACGUUGUUCCCAUAAACUUUAUAAUAGGCAAUAAAACAGAGCAGAGUUAUGAACAUCUAAUUUAGGGACAUUGAGUUACAUAUUAUUCAAGGCUUAAUUAGUAAAAUGGUCCCUUAAAGAUAUUUUUGGUUUCAGAUUGGUCCCUUAAAGAAAAAAAGGUCCAAAUAUGUCCCCUAAAGAAAAAAAAGUCCGAAUAGGUCCCUUAAAGACAUCUCCGUUAAUUAGUUUGGUCCUAUUUAGACAUCUUUUUAGGGACCAAACUGAUUAACGAAAAUGUCUUUAAGGGACCUAUUCGGACUUUUUUUCUUUAAGUGACCUAUUUGGACCUUUUUUUCUUUAAGGGACCAAUCUGAAACAAAAAAUGUCUUUAAGGGACCAUUUUACUAAUUAAGUCUAUAUUCAAUUUAGGGACAUCAAAGGGCAUAUAAUCAAAUUAGGGACAUCAAGUGAAAAAUAUUCAAUUUAGGGACAUCGAAGGACAUGUAUUCAAUUUUACAUCAAAGGUGCCAAGGGACUUCUCCGCUUGCAUUUGAAACAUUCAAAUUGAAAUUGCAUUCAGACCAUCAAAUCUAGAGACAUCAACACAAUUUAGGGACAUCGAGAGACAUAUACUCUAUUUUGCAUCGAAGUCACCAAGGUACACACAAAACCAUCUUUCUUAGGAACAUCUAAUUUAGGGACAUUGAGGUACAUAUAUUCAAUUUAAGGACAUCGAGGGGUCAAUUUUGCAUCAAAAGUGCCAAGGGACUUCGCCACUUACAUUUGAAGCAUUCACAUUGAAAUUGAACUCGGACCAUCAAAUCUAGGGAUAUCCAAGGAUAUAAACUCAAUUUAGGGACAUUGAGGGACAUUUGCUCAAUUUUGCAUCGAAGGCACCAAGGCACACACACAACCAUCUUUCUUAUUUACCGUUAUGAGCAAAAUAAAGGACAUCAAGGGACAUAUACUCAAUUGUUCUCAUACGUUGUUCUCAUAAACUUCAUAAUAGGCAACAAAAUAGAGUAGAGUUAUGAACAUCUAAUUUAGGGACAUUGAGUUACAUAUAUUCAAUUUAGGGACAUCAAGGGGCAUAUAAUCAAAUUAGGGACAUCAAGUGAAAAAUAUUCAAUUUAGGGACACCGAAGGACAUAUAUUCAAUUUUGCAUCAAAGGUGGCAAGGGACUUCUCCUCUUACAUUUGAAGCAUUCAAAUUGAAAUUGCAUUCAGACCAUCAAAUCAAGGGACAUCAGACAAUUUAGGGACAUCGAGAGACAUAUACUCUAUUUUUCAUCGAAGUCACCAAGGCACACACAAAACCAUCUUUCUUAAUUACCAUUAUGAGCAGAAUUAGGGACAUCGAGAGACAUAUACUCAAUAGUUCUCAUAGAUUAUUCCCAUA
rnacentral:lncRNA from 1 species